AUGUUGGAAAGGAGGGUUUUUGUACGGCCACUGAUAGUGUUUGUAUCACUGUGGUACACGUUUGGAGGCGGCACUAGACUUGACGUUGGAAGUGACACCCGUCCCAAAGUCACAGUCCUGCCCCCCCUGCACACCAGCGGGACUUCAGCCACGGUGAUGUGCCUGGCUAACGGAGGCUUCCCGUCCAACUGGGCGCUGAGCUGGAAGGUAGAUGGGAGCAGCAGGAGCGGGGAGACCAGUGUGUUUGGCCCACAGAAGGACGGCCUGUACAGCUGGAGCAGCACCCUGACCCUCCCUCUCCAGGAAUGGAACCAGGGCCACGCAGUGACCUGCGAGGCAAAGCACGGCUCCCAGACCGUCACUGAGAUCCUGAAGAAAUCAGACUGCUCCUAGAGUCUCCUCUCCAAUGGCUAUCAUCAGCCUGAUUUAAAGUGUGUCUGAUAGGAACUCUUCAUCUCUGAUAGGAAGUCUUCAUCUCUGAUAGGAAGUCUUCAUCUCUGAUAGGAACUCUGAUAGGAACUCUUCAUCUCUGAUAGGAACUCUUUUCUUUUCAUUCUGUUAGUCUGCAGAUCUGAGGGACUCUUUCCAUCGUUUCGAUUUGAUCAUCUCAAAUGUUUGCAGCUUUGAACUUGUAAUGUUUUUCAAAAUUGUUUUAAUAAAGGAGUUUGAUGAUGA